rnacentral:rRNA from 1 species
AGCGAACGCUGGUGGCAUGCCUAACACAUGCAAGUCGAACGAGACCUUCGGGUCUAGUGGCGCACGGGUGCGUAACGCGUGGGAACCUGCCCUUAGGUUCGGAAUAACUCCCCGAAAGGGGUGCUAAUACCGGAUAAUGUCUUCGGACCAAAGAUUUAUCGCCUUUGGAUGGGCCCGCGUUGGAUUAGCUAGUUGGUAGGGUAAAAGCCUACCAAGGCGACGAUCCAUAGCCGGUCUGAGAGGAUGAUCAGCCACACUGGGACUGAGACACGGCCCAGACUCCUACGGGAGGCAGCAGUGGGGAAUAUUGGACAAUGGGCGAAAGCCUGAUCCAGCAAUGCCGCGUGAGUGAUGAAGGCCUUAGGGUUGUAAAGCUCUUUUACCCGGGAUGAUAAUGACAGUACCGGGAGAAUAAGCUCCGGCUAACUCCGUG